rnacentral:rRNA from 1 species
AUUGAACGCUGGCGGCAGGCCUAACACAUGCAAGUCGAGCGGUAGAGAGAAGCUUGCUUCUCUUGAGAGCGGCGGACGGGUGAGUAAUGCCUAGGAAUCUGCCUGGUAGUGGGGGAUAACGUUCGGAAACGGACGCUAAUACCGCAUACGUCCUACGGGAGAAAGCAGGGGACCUUCGGGCCUUGCGCUAUCAGAUGAGCCUAGGUCGGAUUAGCUAGUUGGUGAGGUAAUGGCUCACCAAGGCGACGAUCCGUAACUGGUCUAAGAGGAUGAUCAGUCACACUGGAACUGAGACACGGUCCAGACUCCUACGGGGGGCAGCAGUGGGGAAUAUUGGACAAUGGGCGAAAGCCUGAUCCAGCCAUGCCGCGUGUGUGAAGAAGGUCUUCGGAUUGUAAAGCACUUUAAGUUGGGAGGAAGGGUUGUAGAUUAAUACUCUGCAAUUUUGACGUUACCGACAGAAUAAGCACCGGCUAACUCUGUGCCAGCCGCCGCGGUAA